rnacentral:lncRNA from 1 species
UGAAAUCCAUAUCUUCUCUCAAAUGCUCUCAAACCUGUCCCUAGUCGGACUUCUCCGUCACUCAUCUAUGGCUAUCAUGGUGGUUUCUUACCAUACCCAGGCCUUUAGUAGCCUCUCUCGCGAUGGUAUUGCCAUCUCUAGGGUCCUCAAGGGACUAGGGUUAAUGGCUUGCAUCAAUGGCCCCUUUCUCGCAUGUUUCAGGCUGUUCCAGUGUGAUUCUGAGUAAGAUCUUCCUAACAUUGACUAUGAUUUAUGGGUUUCUAAGCAUAUUUCUUCACCUUUGUGUUGUUCUCCUUGAAACCCUAAUUCCUUUCUUCUGAACCUCUUAGAUCUGUACAGAUCUGAGAUGAUUAGACUUGUUUCAUAUGAGUUUUACAUAACCUUGUUAUUCUUUACAAAAAUCGUAGGAUUUUCGAGUGAUUUUUCAUCUUUCUCUAAAGUAUGGUUCCCUGAAAUUUAUUUUCCAAAAACGUUUGGUAAUUUUUUUAGUGUUUGAUCUUCCGCUUCUUAUGUGUUUUGACCGAUUUCGUAAGUUUUCUACAACCUUAACUCGUUUAUACUAAAAACCCUCAUUUUUGACAUUCUUUGUUUGGUUUCUGAGUACCGGUUUACUGAUUGUGUUCUUGCCUUGGUACUUGUAAUUUCUCUUUAGCCAUUUGAAUGUCUUGUGGUUUUCUUGUCCUAAUAUGCCUCUACUGAAUUUCUUAGUUCAACCUUCGCUGAUUCUAUAUGUUUGUGUUCAUCCUGACUAUUCAUGUUGAGACCUAUAUCUUUCUCCUUAAAUCAGUGUCGAUUUAACUAUUUGUUUCGUUAAAAUUAUGUGUCGAAUCCUGACUAUUCAUUUUUUACCUUAUUUUAUCUGUUAAACUUACUGACUUUUUACGUGAUUUUCUCUUUGAUUGAACCCUUGAUUAUUCUGAAGUCCUUAUUUUCUGGUUUGAUUUGAACACUUUUCCUUAACAAUUCUUUUGAUUCUUACCUCUCUACUCGCUUUAAUUGAAAUGCUUGCCUUAGUUAAUUUUCCCUUGCCUUAUUUGUUAUUUCGCUUAUUCUUACUAAUUGUUUGCUUAAUUGAAACCCCUAUGCAUUCACUCAAAUUACCUAUUUUGUACUCGAUUUCCUUCCUUAACUAUCUGUCUCCCCUAUUACCAUUAAUUAUCCCUUGAUUAAAGGGAAGACUUACUGAUUUUACAUGUGAUUGAUUCCCUGAAUUUCUCUAAUUGCUACUUAAUUGAUUCCUUAUCUUAUUUUGCUAAGCUUUUGAUUGCUAUAUAAACUUCCUCCUAUUCUCACUUAAGACACAUACAAUACUUGAGAAACUAUCACUUUACACUCUAAAAAACUCUCUCUAUGCUCUCUUUGCUACUCGUGAUCCAUGUUAAUUCUAGCCGGCUGCAAGCCAAGGCUGAGAAUUGCACACUACCUUUCUCACAACUUGUGUUUUUCAUUCUUUAACUAGGUAUGCUUCUGAUUAAUUUUUAAGAAUCAACUUAUGUGUUUAUUUACUGCUUUAGUUCAUACGGCCUAAGUCUAUUCAUGUUUCUGUUUACUGCUUAUCGAGCAUGUCUAAUAUUGCCUAUUCAAACCUGUGACUAGUAUGUUUCCGCUUUACUUGCAUGUUUGCUAUCUUGUUUAAUAUGUUUACAUAUGUAACUUAAGCAUAUUUGUACUAACUACUAUUUUUCCUAAACUCUACUUUAUAUGCCUUCAUCGUUAAUACUUGCCUAGCAUCUGAGUCUUUGCAUGUUCCGCUUCAUUCCUGCUAAGUUAAUUACUCUCCAUAUAAUGGCUUCAACUUGUUUCUGUUGUGAUCUUUGUUACAUGACUUGCAUUCUACCUACUAGUUCUAUAAGACCACCUCAAAACUCUAUGUAUCCUAUUGUCUGUGUGUUUCAUUAAGGUGUACUCUCUAUGUUCCCAACCCCUAUUCCUUUGUGUGGAAGCUGCUUGACAAAGUUACUUCCUAAAACUUAUUUGUUCUCUGUCUUGUGUUCUAAUUGCAAAUUUGUUUCUUUACACUUUUAUUCCAACUAUUUUAUCACUAAUGGUUUUCAAAAGUUCUUUUCAGUCGUAAAACCUUUCUAAUGUACUCUUCAAACCAUUAUGCUCUUCCACCUACUCUUAGAAUACUAGGGUCUACCCCUCUGAUAUGUGUACUGCCUUGAGACCCUUUAGAUCUCUCUGAACUCUGGCAUGUUAGAACUGGUCUUUCCAUACUGCACCUAAAUCAGUUGUUAUUUGAGAAGGUUCUAGGUGUGAGCACUGCACAGGAUCCUUGAGGUUCUUAGGGAACUCUGACACACCUAGACGUGGAAUUGGCUAUGAACUUUGGCAUUUGAGACUACUAGAGGCUUGGAAAUCAUUUGGGCCUACUGCAGGCUCCCUAUAGAUUACUUUUUUGUUCUAUUUAUGUAAUUUUUAUUUCAAGUCAUUGAUCUGUAAUAAUUAUUGUAAACAUCUAGUGGAGUGAUUAGUGAAAAAGAGAGGGUAGUUAUAUAUUGUGGAUAAAAUAGGGUAGAUGCCAUGCCUA